rnacentral:tmRNA from 1 species
GGGGGCGAAACGGUUUCGACGAGGAGGAACAGGGCUAAGAGGCAUACCGGGGGCCAUGCACCCGUAAUCGCGUGGACCAAAAACUAACUGCCAAUACACAAUUGGCCUACGCUGCUUAAUUAAAAGUGGCGCGUCGCCUCGCCUUCGCCUGUAGGGGUGAAAGCGGCGUCAUUUAUGCGGGCUGGUCUUCUCCUUUCGGUCCGUGAGGGGAGGACGAGAUUUCCGGGCUAGCGGCCGUCGAUUCUUGUUGGCUCGAUGUCAGCGGCUGUGAAGCUUUUUCGAACCGACUACGUAUGUAGGCUCUUAGUUGUGGACCUUUUCGGACGGGGGUUCGACUCCCCCCGCCUCCACCA